rnacentral:lncRNA from 1 species
GGGAUGCCUAAUAGGCUUGACAGAUUGCAGUUUAAUUGGCUUAAUUCCCCAGAGGCUGACUGGGGGAAACAAAACAACUUCUCAAAGUUGAAAUGACAUGGGUGCAAGAAAUGGUUUUCUCCUUCACUUUAGCACGUGGACCCCCUCAGAACAGAGCUCACUGAUAGUUUUGCUUGAGAAGACUGCGUGCUGAGGAGUAUGCAAGCCUGAGCUUCAGGGGCAUACUGGGGAGAGAAGGCAUGCAGGGGAGACAGCACAUGAAAAUGUAUUUCCAUGGACAUGCAGAUACUCUAGAGAGGAGCAGGGAGAUGUGUCUGAGCUCACCCAGGAUGGAGGAGAGAGGCAAGCAGGUCUCGGCAGGGUGUGUGCAGAAACACCUGUGGGUAGCUGCACACUGACAGUCUGCCAGAGGCAGCAUCCCCUUGCUGACUACUUUACGUCCAAUAUCUGCACCCUGUGCAUGACUCAACCUUUGAAAAGCAAUUCAGAGCCACUGACUGGAUCCAGGCCUCCAACAACAGUUGAUGGAUGUGCACAGAGACUUUGGGGCAAGUUCCUGAGCUGAAACUGCAGUCUGCCUAAAAUCCCAGGCAUUUCCCCUGACAACCGUCCCUCCCCUGCACACCCAGACCAACUCAGGACAAACUGGUUUUAUGCCAGCCCUGCCAGAUAUCAAGGAAAUGAAGGAGAAAAGCACAGAAGUAUCUACUGGAAUCAUGGAUAUAACCUUU